CAGUGAGAAAGUGUUCACAAAAUGGCAGCUCUUGCCCUGGCAUCAGAGUUUGAUAAUUGCAGCAUAUACGAUAUUCUUGAACAACCACGCAACUUAUGUGGUGAUUUCGAGUUUGAAAAAGGUUUCGUCUUUCCACCUGUUCAAAAUCCUGCUCAGUUCCUGAGUCAAUACACAAGUGGUGAUGACAACAUAAAAAUAAACUUCGCUCACGGUACAACAACUCUGGCUUUCAAAUUUCAGCAUGGUGUUAUUGUUGCCGUUGACUCUAGAGCAACAGCAGGCUCUUACAUAGCAUCUCAAACUGUGAAAAAGGUUAUUGAGAUUAAUCCGUACCUUCUUGGUACCAUGGCUGGUGGAGCAGCAGAUUGUUCAUAUUGGGAACGAGUUCUUGCUGAACAAUGCAGGAUAUAUGAACUACGAAACAAAGAACGUAUAUCAGUUGCAGCCGCAUCAAAACUGCUUGCAAACAUGGUUUAUCAUUAUAAAGGAAUGGGAUUAUCUAUGGGUACCAUGAUUUGUGGUUGGGAUAAACGAGGUCCCGGCCUGUACUAUGUUGACAGCGAUGGCAGUCGUUUGUCUAAUAAUAUCUUUUCUGUUGGAUCUGGUUCCACCUUUGCUUAUGGUGUGCUGGAUAGCGGUUAUCAUCAUAAUCUCUCUGUUGAAGAAGCAUAUGAUUUAGGAGAGAGGGCCAUUUAUCAUGCAACACAUAGAGAUGCUUAUAGUGGGGGUGUUGUGAACAUGUAUCACAUGAAGGAGACAGGCUGGAUUAAGGUCUCUCAAAAUGACGUUCGUGAUCUGCAUUACAAAUAUCAAGCAGAGAAGAAAAAAUGACAUUUUUUUCAAAGGUUUGUAGGUUAGUUUCGCAUGGUUUGUCGGCUACACUUCAUUAAAUUGUUCUCGUAAUCCUUCAUAUUCUUUUGCGUUUAUUUGUCGCAUCUGUUAUGACCAUGUUUCUCUCUGAUUCUUUAUGGGUCAUAUGGUGUUAACAAAAAUGCUCAAAUUUAUACACUCCGUAGUUGCAUUUUUGUAUAAAAAAGCAGCCUAGUAUAGACACAAACAAGAUAGGAAAAGAGCAAAAAAAUAUACAUAUGAAGUAGAAAUUUUAACGCCAAAGUACACUAGCAACAUUAGUGAAAUAUACCAUGAUACAACACAUCUCAAAUUUGUAUCCAACACCAUGGCGGAUAGUUUGUAGUGGCUGUAUUGUAGCAUUAAUCAUUGGCUAGAUUACCAAAACCACAUGAGACUGUUUAUUGAAAAAAAUCACAUCUAAAUAUUAAAAAAAGUGUUAGUCUAGAAAACUAAUUAUAAUUCUACUUUAAUUACAUUUCGUCCCGCAAAGAUAUACGUUCACAUGUAAAAGCGGUUUCUCUCACAAAAAUAUAUCACACAUUGCCAAAAGUGUUGAAAAUUUUAUCGUCAAGAAUUACGCAGAGGAUUUUCUUGCUUUACUUAUACACUGUUGGUAGAAUUCUCGUGUAUUGCUGGGUCUAAAAUGUUGAGAAAGGGAAAUGAAGGAGGUCGAUAAGAAAUUCACGAAAUUGUUACUUCUGGAAAUUUUAUAAGAAAUUUAGAAAAUUUUUACUCUAAUAAAUUCUAUGGUAAGCAUUUACAAAAAAUAAAAUUAUCAAAUGAUCACUUUAAA